GGCUCAGGACGAACGCUGGCGGCGUGCUUAACACAUGCAAGUCGAACGCUGAAGCACCAGCUUGCUGGUGUGGAUGAGUGGCGAACGGGUGAGUAAUACGUGAGUAACCUGCCCUUGACUCUGGGAUAAGCCCGGGAAACUGGGUCUAAUACUGGAUGCUACAUGUCACCGCAUGGUGGUGUGUGGAAAGGGUUUACUGGUCUUGGAUGGGCUCACGGCCUAUCAGCUUGUUGGUGAGGUAAUGGCUCACCAAGGCGACGACGGGUAGCCGGCCUGAGAGGGUGACCGGCCACACUGGGACUGAGACACGGCCCAGACUCCUACGGGAGGCAGCAGUGGGGAAUAUUGCACAAUGGGCGAAAGCCUGAUGCAGCGACGCCGCGUGAGGGAUGACGGCCUUCGGGUUGUAAACCUCUUUCAGCAGGGAAGAAGCCACAAGUGACGGUACCUGCAGAAGAAGCGCCGGCUAACUACGUGCCAGCAGCCGCGGUAAUACGUAGGGCGCAAGCGUUGUCCGGAAUUAUUGGGCGUAAAGAGCUCGUAGGCGGUUUGUCGCGUCUGCUGUGAAAGCCCGGGGCUUAACCCCGGGUGUGCAGUGGGUACGGGCAGACUAGAGUGCAGUAGGGGAGACUGGAAUUCCUGGUGUAGCGGUGGAAUGCGCAGAUAUCAGGAGGAACACCGAUGGCGAAGGCAGGUCUCUGGGCUGUUACU
rnacentral:rRNA from 1 species